UAUACUGUGCCAGGAGAUGUCUCUGGCAGGAACUCGCAGUCUCUGUAUUAAGUUGGGAUGUGCUUCUUCCAUGUCCCCCGUGCACUUCUAAGCACCCGGUACAGUGCUCUGCACACGGUAACUCUGACCUGAUCUUCCCCUAGACUGAGGUUCUCCGAGAAGAUAAGCCCGGCCUUCCCGCCUUCCGGGAGGACUCUCUGCCCUGCCGACUACUUUUCUUCGUACGUGCGAUACUAGCUACAUCUAGUGGCUGGCAGAGUGUUCGCGUUUUCCGGCUUUAAGACUGCUGAAAAUCAAAGUCAGGAAAAGCACCCGUUCCAAGACGUUUUCCACUAAAGAACUGGACUUAAAUGUGCUCACCCACGCAUAAAAACCACUGACGCAAAAGGUCGCUUUUCGAGCUACCUAAAGUAAGGGCCCGGAACUCUCGGGUUUUCCGGCCCCACCGAAAGGGCCUUCCGGGUCUAACGAACGAUGACGAUGAACCAUAACGGAGAGAGAACGUACAUAUACUUUAUUGCUCACCUUUCAUACAAAGCACACCUUCGGGCAUUUUCUUUCACAGCUUGACAAUGUUUAUGUACACAAAAACCCAGCAAGAAGCGUCGUGUGGAUUUCAGUAAAGUAAAGGUAAAACAUCAAACUCA